AUUGAACGCUGGCGGCAUGCUUUACACAUGCAAGUCGAACGGCAGCGGGGGCUUCGGCCUGCCGGCGAGUGGCGAACGGGUGAGUAAUGCAUCGGAACGUGCCCAUGUCGUGGGGGAUAACGUAGCGAAAGCUACGCUAAUACCGCAUACGCCCUGAGGGGGAAAGCGGGGGGAUUCUUCGGAACCUCGCGCGAUUGGAGCGGCCGAUGUCGGAUUAGCUAGUAGGUGAGGUAAAGGCUCACCUAGGCGACGAUCCGUAGCGGGUCUGAGAGGAUGAUCCGCCACACUGGGACUGAGACACGGCCCAGACUCCUACGGGAGGCAGCAGUGGGGAAUUUUGGACAAUGGGCGCAAGCCUGAUCCAGCCAUGCCGCGUGAGUGAAGAAGGCCUUCGGUUGUAAGACUCUUUCUAGCAGGAACGAAACGGUAGGCCGACUAAUACUAGGCUACU
rnacentral:rRNA from 1 species